UACCUUGUCUUUAAUGUAUAUUAGUAUCCC
rnacentral:piRNA from 1 species